rnacentral:lncRNA from 1 species
GGUAGCUGUAGCUCCGAUUAGACCCCUAGCCUGGGAAUCUCCAUAUGCUGCAAGUGCGGCCCUAAAAAGCAAAAAAAAAAAAAGAAAGAAAGAAAGAAAAAGAAAAUGUGCUGAUUCCCAAUUUCCUAUCAGAUGAAGGCUAAACUUUCAGCCUGGCAUCCUGCUACUUGUGCGUCCUGAUCCCACUGAGCCUGAGGCUGCAAAGCCUCCUCGGCUCCUCUAGUCCCAAAACAGAACCCUCGUCUCCACACGCGAAUGUUAUUUUUGCCCCGUGAAUACAUUUUCCUUACUCCGGCACCUUGGUCUUUGUUCAUAAUGUGUUUUUGGAAUGUCCUGUCUUUGCCUUCUUUCUACUCAAAUCCUAGUUAUUGGAUUCCUAUUGUGUCUCAUUGGGUUAAAAACCUGACAGUGUCUGUGAGGUUUCGGGUUCGAUCCCUGGCCUCGCUCAGUGGGUUAAGGAUCCUGCAUUGACGUGAGCUCCAUGCUAGAUCCGAGCCGCGUCUGCGACCUACACCACAGCUCAAGGUGAUGCCAGAUCCUUAACCCACUGAGCAGGGCCAGGGAUUGAAGCCGCAACCUCAUGGUUCCUAGUUGGAUUCGUUUCUGCUGCUGAAACUCCCAAGCCCAGGCUUCUUAUGAAGCCCUUUUAUGUCCCUGACCACAAACAAGACCCUGGUUUUAUUGACGCUCCUACUACGGGCAUCACGUCUUGUGUUGAUUCCUUUUCCCUGUGCACAUGUCCUGCUCCCACAACGAGAUUAACUCUGAGGGGAAAGGACCAUUGUUUUAUGUGUCUGCUCUGCGUUAACGAGCCUAUCAUCGCGUUACCCUCAGCAGUUCCAUAGCAAAUGUAUGGUAUUUUCCCAGCCAAUUCUCUGACACCAGCUGCAUGUCACACAGUCCCACCUGUCCUGACACCGACCCUCCAGGGUCAGCAUCAGACUCACAGGCCUUGGGGCUCUGCCCCCAGACGCCCCCACGCCAGACCCAGGGGCAAGUCCAGGCCACCCGUCCUUCUGAUGCACCCAGUUGUGAAGUCGGGGGUGGGUGAUCCCCACAACCCCACCCUCAGGUUUAAUCGCUUGCUGGAAUGACUCACAGAAAAACAGUUUUGGGGUCCCCAUUGUGGCUCGGGGUUGAGAACCUAACUAGUAUCCAUGAAGAUGUGGGUUUGAUCCCUGGCCUCAGUCAGUGGGUUAAGGUUCCAGUGUUGCCGUGAGCUGUGUUGUAGGUUGCAGGUGUGGCUCAGAUCCCAGGUUGCCAUGGCUGUGACGUAGGCCGGCAGCUACAGCUCCGAUUUGACCCCUAGCCAGCAUAUUCCCCAUAUGCUGCAGGUGCAGCCCUGAAAAAAAGAAAGAAAAACAGGGCAUUCCCAUUGCGGCGCAGAGGAAAAGAAUCUGACUAGUGUCCAUGGGGAUACGGGUUUGAUCCCUGGCCUUGCUCAGUGGGUCAGGGAUCUGGCGUUGCUGUGAGUUGAGGUGUAGGUCACAGACAAGGCUCAGAUCUGGCGUUGUGGCUGUGGCUGUGGCCAGCAGUUGUAGCUCUGAUUGGACCCCUAGCCUGGGAACCUCCAUAUGCCAUGGGAGCAGCCCUAGAAAAGGCAAAAAAAAAAAAAAAAAAAAGGAUCUGAUGUUGUCACUCCUAUAUGACUCUGGUCAUGUCUGUGGCACGGGUUCCAUCCCCGGCCCCAGGAACUCAUGCAUACCACGGGUGCAGCCAAAAUAAAAAUUUAAAAAAUUAAGUAAGUAAAUAAAUUCCAUAUUAGUGAAAUUUAACCUCAAAAGGAAGAGAAUUAGACCAUUCAGGUGAAAAGGACAGGUUCCUAGGAGAUUCCUAGGAGGACACUGAAAUGCACUUAAGAAGAAGUAGGAAGAAGGACCUACUGUAGGAGUUCCCUGGUGGCUCAGCAGGUUAAGGAUCUGGCAUUGUCACUGCUGCAGCACAGGUUCAUUCCCUGGCCCGGGAAUUUCCACAUGCCAUGGGUACGGCCAAAAACAAACAAACAAAAAAAAAAAAAAAAAAAAGAGAAAGGAGCUGCUUAUAGCACAGGGAACUAUACUCAGUAUCUUCUAACUAUAAUGGAAAAAAA